rnacentral:rRNA from 1 species
AACGAACGCCGGCGGCGCGUCUUAAGCAUGCAAGUCGAACGGCAAGAGAGGAGCUUGCUUCUCUCCUAGAGUGGCGGACUGGUGAGGAACACGUGGGUAAUCUACCCUUAAGAUGGGGAUAGCUGCUAGAAAUAGCAGGUAAUACCGAAUACACUCAGUGCUUCACAAGAGGUAGUGAGGAAAGGAAGCUACGGCUUCGCUUGAGGAUGAGCUUGCGUCCCAUUAGCUUGUUGGUGAGGUAAAGGCCCACCAAGGCGACGAUGGGUAUCCGGCCUGAGAGGGUGAACGGACACAUUGGGACUGAGAUACGGCCCAAACUCCUACGGGAGGCAGCAGCUAAGAAUAUUCCGCAAUGGACGAAAGUCUGACGGAGCGACGCCGCGUGGAUGAAGAAGGCUGAAAAGUUGUAAAAUCCUUUUGUUGAUGAAGAAUAAGGGGGAGAGGGAAUGCUUCUCUGAUGACGGUAAUCGACGAAUAAGCCCCGGCUAAUUACGUGCCAGCAGCCGCGGUAACACGUAAGGGGCGAGCGUUGUUCGGAAUUAUUGGGCGUAAAGGGCAUGUAGGCGGCUAUGUAAGCCUGAUGUGAAAUGCUGGGGCUUAACCCUAGAAUAGCAUUGGGUACUGUAUAGCUUGAAUUACGGAAGGGAAACUGGAAUUCCAAGUGUAGGGGUGGAAUCUGUAGAUAUUUGGAAGAACACCGGUGGCGAAGGCGGGUUUCUGGCCGAUAAUUGACGCUGAGAUGCGAAAGUGUGGGGAUCGAACAGG